GGUGAGUAACACGUGGAUAACCUACCUAUAAGACUGGGAUAACUUCGGGAAACCGGAGCUAAUACCGGAUAAUAUUUUGAACCGCAUGGUUCAAAAGUGAAAGACGGUCUUGCUGUCACUUACAGAUGGAUUCGCGCUGCAUUAGCUAGUUGGUAAGGUAACGGCUUACCAAGGCAACGAUGCAUAGCCGACCUGAGAGGGUGAUCGGCCACACUGGAACUGAGACACGGUCCAG
rnacentral:rRNA from 1 species